rnacentral:misc_RNA from 1 species
UUAGAAUGUUCCGGCAGCGGUGCUGCUCCACCGGCUACACUUGCGGAGUUCAAGCUCGACGGUUAUGGUGGGAUGGAUUUCUUCGAUGUCAGUCUUGUGGAUGGGUAUAAUCUGCCCAUGCUGGUAGUGCCUCAGGGUGGCUCUGGGCAGAAUUGUUCAAGCACAGGCUGCGUGGUGGAUUUGAACGGCUCUUGUCCUUCGGAGCUCAAGGUUACAAGCUCAGCCGGCGACGGUGUGGCUUGUAAGAGGGGCUGUGAAGGUUUCAGGCCACCACCAAAUUGUUGUAAUGGCGCGGACUCUACACCU